rnacentral:rRNA from 1 species
GAUGAACGCUAGCGGCAGGCUUAAUACAUGCAAGUCGAGGGGUAGCAAGAUUGUAGCAAUACAAUUGUUGACGACCGGCAAACGGGUGCGGGACACGUACACAACCUUCCUACAAGUGGGGAAUAGCCCAGAGAAAUUUGGAUUAAUACCCCGUAACAUAGCGAUGUGGCAUGACAUUGCUAUUAUAGCUUCCGCGCCUGUUGAUGGGUGUGCGGCGGAUUAGAUAGUUGGCGGGGUAACGGCCCACAAGUCUACCAUCAGUAGCUGAUGUGAGAGCAUGAUCAGCCACACGGGCACUGAGACACGGGCCCGACUCCUACGGGAGGCAGCAGUAAGGAAUAUUGGACAAUGGACGCAAGUCUGAUCCAGCCAUGCCGCGUGAAGGAUUAAGGUCCUCUGGAUUGUAAACUUCUUUUAUAAGGGACGAAAAAAGGUCUUUCUAGAUCGUCUGACGGUACCUUAUGAAUAAGCACCGGCUAACUCCGUGCCAGCAGCCGCAGUAACAC